CGCGCCUCUUGCCUCAUAAUAAGAGGUCCAGCCUGCCCAGUGAAUUUUUAACGGCCGCGGUAUCCUAACCGCGCGAAGGUAGCAUAAUCACUUGUUCUUUAAAUGGGGACUUGUAUCAACGGCAUCACGAGGGUUUUACUGUCUCCUCUUUCUAAUCAGUGAAAUUGAUCUCCCCGUGAAGAAGCGGGGAUAUUUAUAUAAGACGAGAAGACCCCAUGGAGCUUUAAACCAAAUAGCACCUUAACUUAGUACCCCCCGAUAGUUUUAUAAAGCCAUGCUAUAAGGUUUUUGGUUGGGGUGACCGCGGAGUAAAACAUAACCUCCACGACGGAAAGACCACAAUCUUUAUUCAAGAACUACAAUUCUAAAAACUAGCACACUAACGUAUUCUGACCCGAUAAUCGAUCAACGAACCAAGUUACCCUGGGGAUAACAGCGCAAUCUACUUCAAGAGCCCAUAUCGACAAGUAGGCUUACGACCUCGAUGUUGGAUCAGGGUAUCCCAGUGGUGCAGCCGCUACUGACGGUUCGUUUGUUCAACGAUUAAAACCCU
rnacentral:rRNA from 1 species